rnacentral:rRNA from 1 species
GGUUAAGCGACUAAGCGUACACGGUGGAUGCCCUGGCAGUCAGAGGCGAUGAAGGACGUGCUAAUCUGCGAUAAGCGCCGGUAAGGUGAUAUGAACCGUUAUAACCGGCGAUUUCCGAAUGGGGAAACCCAGUGUGACUCGUCACACUAUCAUUAACUGAAUCCAUAGGUUAAUGAGGCGAACCGGGGGAACUGAAACAUCUAAGUACCCCGAGGAAAAGAAAUCAACCGAGAUUCCCCCAGUAGCGGCGAGCGAACGGGGAGGAGCCCAGAGCCUGAAUCAGCAUGUGUGUUAGUGGAAGCGUCUGGAAAGGCGCGCGAUACAGGGUGACAGCCCCGUACACAAAAGCGCAUAUGCUGUGAGCUCGAUGAGUAGGGCGGGACACGUGGUAUCCUGUCUGAAUAUGGGGGGACCAUCCUCCAAGGCUAAAUACUCCUGACUGACCGAUAGUGAACCAGUACCGUGAGGGAAAGGCGAAAAGAACCCCGGCGAGGGGAGUGAAAAAGAACCUGAAACCGUGUACGUACAAGCAGUGGGAGCCCCACCACUAAGCCAGUGGUGAACUCCACAUACGCAUCCUUUGCUGAGGAUACGGUUAACGGAGCGAAAGCGACGUUCAACCGCAAAAGAAGCAGAGGGGGCUUAGUGGUGGGGUGACUGCGUACCUUUUGUAUAAUGGGUCAGCGACUUAUAUUCUGUAGCAAGGUUAACCGAAUAGGGGAGCCGGAGGGAAACCGAGUCUUAACCGGGCGUUAAGUUGCAGGGUAUAGACCCGAAACCCGGUGAUCUAGCCAUGGGCAGGUUGAAGGUUGGGUAACACUAACUGGAGGACCGAACCGACUAAUGUUGAAAAAUUAGCGGAUGACCUGUGGCUGGGGGUGAAAGGCCAAUCAAACCGGGAGAUAGCUGGUUCUCCCCGAAAGCUAUUUAGGUAGCGCCUCGUGAAUUCAUCUCCGGGGGUAGAGCACUGUUUCGGCUAGGGGGCCAUCCCGGCUU